CGGGGGGAGCAAGCGUUGUUCGGAUUUACUGGGCGUAAAGGGCGCGUAGGCGGCCACCGCAAGUCGACUGUGAAAUCUCCGGGCUUAACCCGGAAAGGUCAGCCGAUACUGCGGGGCUAGAGUGCAGAAGGGGGCAACUGGAAUUCUCGGUGUAGCGGUGAAAUGCGUAGAUAUCGAGAGGAACACCUGCGGCGAAGGCGGGUUCGCUGGGCUGACACUGACGCUGAGGCGCGAAAGCUAGGGGAGCGAACGGGAUUAGAUACCCCGGUAGUCCUAGCCUUAAACGAUGAAUGCUUGGUGUCUGGGGUUUUAUAGUCCCCGGGUGCCGUCGCUAACGCUUUAAGCAUUCCGCCUGGGGAGGUACGGUCGCAAGACUG
rnacentral:rRNA from 1 species